UCAGGUGAAGGAGGCGCGGCAGCUGCGGGUCUCAGCUCAAGACCGCGUCGGGGAGAAGCUGGAAAGCGGAACCAAACCUGGACAGGUUUUACCUGGAAAACCAAAGUGGUUUGGAUGGGGAAGAAUGUUUCCUGAACCUGGAGGCUCCUAUAUCAAGAGUAUGUGGCUAUGACACACCAUUUCCUCACAUUUUCGAGCCAUUCUACAUCCCAGACAAAUGGAAGUGCUACGAUGCCCUUCGAAAAAUGAUCAACUACUGACUGUGUUGAGAAACUGGAAGAUUGUGACUAGAUAUGGAAAUAUUUUUCUGAAAAUUCUUUUUAUUUCCUCAGACUUGUCUCUUCUUGAAAAUAGAGUUUUUAUGAACUGAACCACCUUGGAUAUUGGCUGAAAAUUUUUAAUUAGUUAUUGUAUUGUAUUUACACAUAUGAAUUGAUGAUUUCCGUGGAGAGCGUCUCAGAUUAACUUUUUAAAAUGCUUCACUUGGUAGUGUUAUAAAUUCCAUUUAAUUACAUCUGUAAAUAUUGGGCGUGGGGUAGUAUUCAAUAAAGCACAAUCAGACUGUCCU
rnacentral:lncRNA from 1 species